UACAUGGGGUGCAAACGUUGCUCGGAAUUAUUGGGCGUAAAGCGCACGUAGGCGGUUCGUUAAGUCGGAUGUGAAAGCCCUCGGCUCAACUGAGGAAGUGCACCCGGAACUGGCGAGCUUGAGUACGAAAGAGGAUCGCGGAAUUCCCGGUGUAGAGGUGAAAUUCGUAGAUAUCGGGAGGAACACCGGUGGCGAAGGCGGGUCUCUGGGCCGAUACUGACGCUGAGGAGCGAAAGCAUGGGUAGCGAACAGG
rnacentral:rRNA from 1 species